GGAUCAGAUUGUUGGUCGUGCCUCGGUACGUACUGGUAUUACUGGUUCCUACCUUCUGAAGAACCGCGAUGUCAUUAAUUUGGUGUCGUGGGGAAUCAGGACUGUUACUUUGAAAAAAUUAGAGUGUUUAAAGCAGGCCUACGCCUGAAUACAUUAGCAUGGAAUAAUGAAAUAGGACGUUUGAUUCAAUUUUGUUGGUUUCUAGGAUCGACGUA
rnacentral:rRNA from 1 species